AUGAAUAAGAAAUUAAAUGGCUCAGGACUGGGUCAUGGCUUGCCAAGUAUCAGCCUGGGGAGGUGUUCUGUAACUCUGCGAAAAAAUGUCUUCAAGCACAUGAGCAGCCAGCAGUCUGGGGCCUGGACCUGCUGCCAAAGAACUGCAGACAGUAAAAUCACAGCCUGUGAGUGGAGAAAGUUGCAAAAUCUGGGGCCAAAUGGACCAACAUGUCCACAUUCUCACAAUGCUGCUCUCCAUCCUGACGCAACCUCACUCCUCUCAGAGCCAGUUGGUCACCCUUUACCUUUGGAUGGAGUCUCCAGAGAGGUGAGCCUCACAAAAGGAAAUUAAGAAAAUUUCCCCCUAAAUCCCAUCCAUAACCUGCCUAAAUCUCCUUGGAGAGAUGACUCACGCUGUGAAGUACUCUAGGAGCUUGCUCAUCAGAAACACUGUUGGAAAAUAUGGUCUCGUGUUCCUGUGAUGUUGUCUUUAGUUGCCAGGUCUGAGGGAUUUCCAGAGCUUCAGAGGGUCACUGUUGCCUCACAGAGCAACAGAAAGGCUGCCCAGGACCUCGGUACAUGAAUAUCACUGGUUACAAUGGGAACUGUUUCAUAUGCCUGCAUGGAGUGUCACGGGGACCUCUCCAGACCCUUCGUGCUCCUUGCUGCUCCGGUGGCUGUUUGCAAUGCAUCUGCCUCCAAGUGCAGAGCUGUGUGUGCUGGCAGGGGAUGCAGCAGGGCUCAGGAUCAGGAUGAAUACCACCCCUGGAUCCCAACUUACUCCUUGCAUAAUGCAGUUUUAAAACCAGAAGGGGCUGAUCUGCCAGUUCAGGCAGUGCACAAGUUGGUCAAAACUUGCAGAUAACUGGUGAUUGGCAGAGAUUUCACGUGUGAGCUUCCCCUGCCUCUGGGCAGCACCCUUGGAAGGUUUCCUCCCCACGCCGUGGCACUGGUGAUCCACCCUUUUCCUCACCGUGCUGGUGCGUGGCCCUGGGGUGCAAUGACGAGGAGGAAAGAAGGGGAAUGUGAUACUCCCGAGGGUGCCCCAUCAGAAGGGGCCCUGCAUUAUAAAGAUCCUGCUUUUGAAACACAACAGCUCUGAAAGUGUCGGUUAUUUAAAUUGUUUGUGAGCCUAAAAACCGGGGUUUGGAUGGUCUUUCACAGGCAUGGCACUGUAGAGUGCUCCCAGCUCUAUCAUCCCCAGCUAGCACCUCCCAGCUGGGAGAAGGAGAGCUCCCGUGGUGACUUUUGGAGUGCCACAGGGUUGUAGCACAAUGGGGUAAAGAUGAGGUUCAGACAGCAAAGCCAAGCUUCCAUGUGUAAAGCAUGCUUUCCUUGCAGGGAUCCCCUUUCUAUUACUCAUCCUAGUGACAAUAAUGUUGUGUAAAACCAGCCAGCCUUUGCCUGACACAACCUUCAGCAAAGCAGCAUGCCCACCUUGCCUGGGGAAGAGAGGAGAAAUGCUGCUGCGAGCUGAAAUGCCCUGCUUGCCUCCUGAAGGCACUGCCAGAGCUCCCCAUCAUCGUUGCUGCCCCAGACCCAGCAGAUGGCACUGCUGCCUGGGGUUUCUCCUGGUCCAAGGGCAGGAUCUGCCUCCAGCACGCUCAGAUGGGGAGGGAGAGGAGGAGAGGGCUGCAGGGCGAGCCUGGUGAGGCAGGGUGAGCUCUGCCAAAAUCUCAGCAUCACAGUAUGGUGGAGGCUGAAAGGUAACUCUGGAGACUGCCCAUCCCAAACCCUUGCACAAAGCAGGGUCAGCUAGAGAAGGUUUGCUUGGCACUGUGUCCAGCUGGGUUUUGAAGAUCUCCAAGGAUGGAGACUACACAACUUUUCUGGGCAGCCUGCACCAGUUUUUGACCACCAUCACAGUCAAAAAAAAUUUUUUUUUUUUUUGUUUGUUUUUUUGUUUUUAUAUUAAAUGGAAUUUUUGGUAUUCCAAUUUAUACCCAUUGCCUCUUGUCCUGUCACUGGGCACCACUGAGAGAAGUCUGGUUCAGUCUUACUACUCCCAUCAGGUAUUUAAAAACAUCAAUAAGAUCUUCCCUGAGUCUUUGCUGCCUGUUGGUAUUUCUCCUUACUAUCUUAUGAAACAACAACAACAUUUAAUAUAUGCCCUAUACAAGUCAGCAGGGUGCCACCUAGAGAGAAUCUCACGGGGAGAAGCAUUUCCAUAUUUCGUGCCUAACUAUGGGACUGAGAUCACAGCAAGAUGCGUACUUCAGCACAUGGUAGGUGUUUCUCUCUUUUAAAUAGAGACAGCCAACUCCAAAAUUUUGGAUCAAACUAUUCCCGACUUUGGGGGAGAGAUUUCAAGCCCAGAUCUCGGUCUCUUGAAGCUUCGCUGUUGAUAGAUGCAAAACAUUGAAGACUUUUCUGGAACUUGGUCCAGGUGCAAAAGCUGUGUAACUGGUUGAGCUUUUUUUUUUGCUAAAGCUUUUAGAAAGAUUAUCUGGCCUGUUCUAUCCAUAUUGGACCCUUCCCAUCAUGAUAACUGGCUCCUAAUAGCAGGCUGGGUAAGGAGUUUCUACUUCCCUGGUGUUUUCUCUUGACAAGCAUUGGCUCCUCCAGCCAGAGGUGUCUGCAUGCCAAGCCACAAUAUUCCUCCCAGCGUGUUUUACAUAGAGCUUUAUUUAUUUAUUUCUGUGCUGCAUCCUGCUAGCUUGCCAGUGGAAAUCUGCCUGGGGGAUUUGUUUCAUGUCUCCCGCAAUGGGACCUGGAAAUCUGCCUUCUCAGCUUUACCAAAACUCUUCUGGCCAAUAUUAGGAGAGGAUGCCAGAAUAUAGCAGCUCCUGUAGUGCAUGGGAAAUGCAUCUCCCUUGCUGGCUAAAGACUUUUGCUCUUUGAUGGUUCCUUUCUUCACCAUCACCAUCACAGCCACUUUCUCCUCUUCCCCCUCUUCUUCCUUCUCCACCUCUUUUCCCUUCUCCUCUUCCUCUUCCUCCCCUUCCUCCUCCUCCUCCUCUCCCAUCUCUUCCUUCUCCUUUAGAUCUGCAGUUAAUAAUGCAUUUGUUUUCCAGAAGGCAAAGGAGUAUCUUGCAGCCCUGCCAAGGAGCCUUAUCUGCACACUACACCUGAAAUUUAAGAUUCCUCUGUAGUCAUGGAGCAAUAUUUAUCAUGCCUUUUCACUGACCAGAUUUACUAGUUCCAGCCCCCUAAAUUCUUGCCUAACAGAAGUCUCGAAACCUAUUUUGUUAAUGAUCAGUUUCAUCCCUGCUUCCUAAGAACAGAGACAAAAGAUCUUCCUUCAAAGUAACGUUUAAAUCUAAGCAUUAAACAAGUGAUAUCACAAGGCUUAUAUUGCUGCACUUGUUGAAUCUAAACACAAGACUGUGUUGUUGAAUGUAUGAGUCCUUCAGAUGUGUUGCAUGUUGAGAUAGAAAGGCAAGCUAAAAUGCUGCCUGAUGCAAACCUGGCUACGGUAAGCAGAAGGCUGUCAGAUGAUUGUAAUGGCUCUUUGGUCCCAAUUUAAUUUAUUUCAGUCCAUGGGAUUUUGCAUUUUACUUUAUGAGUUCCUAGAUUUUGGCUUUCAGCACUUCAUUCAAAUCAACUGUCUACAAGGAAGCCUUCCUGGAUAUGCUCUUGGCUUUGGUUUAGAAAAUUUCUUUACAGGAGCAUCAGCCGUAAGUGAGUGUUGAGUCAAGUUUCAAAAAUGCUGCUCCACACCAGAAAAGAAGAAAGAUGUGGCAGUGGGUUUUGGAAGAGCUACAGUUUGGCUCUUCAGUAUGACAUCAUGGGAAAGCAUCACCACUGAGCUGUUGCCAUGCCAAGAAUACAGAAGAUGCUGAAGAUAAUGAAGAGAUUCCAAAUGUCCUGAAUGUUGUGUCACUGAAACAAUCCUAAUGUUUGCAAUAAAAACUUACUGAAAACACUUAAAGAAUAGUUC
rnacentral:lncRNA from 1 species